UCCCUUGUGGCUCAGCUGGUAAAGAAUCCACCUGCAAUGUGGGAGACCUGGGUUCGAUCCCCGGAUUGGGAA
rfam:TPA: Bos taurus chromosome 8, whole genome shotgun sequence.